GCCUUCGUGGUGUAGUGGUCAGCACGACCGGUGCGUAACCGAGAGGUCCGUGGUUCGAUUCUCGUCGAAGGCG
rfam:Stegodyphus mimosarum contig8771, whole genome shotgun sequence.